rnacentral:rRNA from 1 species
AGACCGAUAGCGAACAAGUAGAGUGAUCGAAAGGUUAAAAGCACCUUGAAAAGGGAGUUAAACAGCACGUGAAAUUGUUGAAAGGGAAGCGCUUGCGGCCAGACUCGGGGGCGGGGUUCAGCGGGUGCUCGUCGCCCGUGUAUUCCUCGUCUCCCGGGCCAGCAUCAGUUUCGACGGCCGGUCAAAGGCCCCCGGAAUGUGUCGUCUCUCGGGACGUCUUAUAGCCGGGGGUGCAAUGCGGCCCGUCGGGACUGAGGAACGCGCUCCGGCUCGGAUGCUGGCGUAAUGGCCGUAAGCGGCCCGUCUUGAAACACGGCCAAG